CGUAGGGGAACUGCGGCUGGAUCACCUCCUUU
rnacentral:rRNA from 5 species